UGAAAGGCUUUUAUCAAAGCCACUCAUUCAUACCUUAUCAUCAAG
rfam:Amborella trichopoda AMTR_V1.0_contig_14584, whole genome shotgun sequence.